CUGGAACAACCCAACGAUGGAGUCCGAGUCCAAAUAACUUAGAGUCGAUGUGAAGGGAAUUCAUUGUGCCAUGGCAUCUUACCAAAUGAGGCUGAUUGAGACACCUCAGUUAACAGAGGAUGGAGAGGCAAGAGAUGGAUGGUUUACCAAACUGCAGCUUAACAAGGAUCAAGGAGGGAUCUUCUGGAAAAUCCAGAGACUGAGGAACACCAGCCAUCAAGGGAUUCUGCUCUUUUUAAGCACCUCUUGAUUGGUUCAACGAGCUGCAGCUGCGGAGCCUGUCAGUCACACCCUGCUGAAGAGCCUGUUCACACUGUUCAAAAAUGGCUGUAAUUUCUCCUCCUGGUCAGCAGGUGGCAGCGACAGCAGGAGUCUGAAAAUCAAGAAGCAGGAAGUGGUUGUGCUAUGGAUGCAGUUUAUUCUUGUGAACAGCAGGUGGCAGCAGCAGGACUUUUCACAUCGUCACAAAGAAACAGGAAGUGGUUAGACUGAGUAAAACAAACAUCAUUACAUGUUUCAUAUUUAUUCUCUGCGAUGUGGAUGAAUUAGUUAAUUUCAGACUGAUGUAUCUUUGACUCAUGAGCUCUCUAUUUGGCUGUUGGGACUUUAUAAGAAGUUACAAAUAGUGGAAAUAUGUCAGAUGUUGGUUAGCUUUAGCCAUGCUAAUGCAGUGUUGCAUUGUGGGUAAUAAAAUAGUUUUUUCUUUAAACGUUAGAUGUAAACUGCUUUUUAAUUUUCUUCAACAUUUAUUCCAGUAUGCUUUAACUGGUGUAGCAAGACAGCUUCCAGGUACUGGUUUUGUUAGGUGUUGUUAAAUGACUCGAUUCAGCUGAGGAAAAACAUGACCUACGGCCUAUUGGAUGACACCUUGUGGCUCCGACGAAUAUGCAGAGAGGGAAGUAAUCUCACGCCUGUAGUUCUACAAGGACAAAUCAACUGUAUUCAAGUGGCUUUGUUAUGAAUUGAACCUCAAAAUCAUCUGCAUCAGUUGGAGCCCUUUAAGUUUUUACCCCAAUUUCUCCAGAUAUAUUGGAGAGAUCUGAAAACUUCUCCCAUCCAACCUGAUGGAGGUUGUGCUGUACUGCAAAGAAGAAUGGACUAAACUACCUAAAGAUAGGUGUGCUAAGCUUGUGGCAUCUUAUUAAAAAAGACGUGAUGCUGGUAUUGCUGCCAAAAGUAUAAAGCAAAGGCUACAAAUAGUUACCUAAAAGUGAUUUGUUUUCUUUUUGUAAUAAAUUUGUUACAAUCUCAAA